CUCUCUCUUUCUACUGGUGCAUGCUCUCCCUGUCACCCCCACCCCUCUCUCAGUGGGGUUUUGGGAUCCUGCUGGGCCGUAUUCAGGGGGCCCGGAGACCAGGUCAAGAUGCCGAUCCCGGAGUCCUACUGCCCCCCGGCCUCCUGUCUGCUCAUCGCAGAAGACGUCCUCAGCUGCAUCAGGCAGAAAGGAGAGCAGAGCUGUGGGGACCUGGUGGAGGCCUUCCAGGUGUGUGUGAAGACGCUCUCUGAGGGAUCAUGAAUCAACUGAAGUGGACCGCAUGCGUCCCCUCCAGUGAUGUCACCAGCGCGUCAGUCUUCUACUAGUGAUGAGAUCCAUACACCAGUGGUCCCCCAUGGUGUGAUACUAUCUCAAAUAUAUUAUGUAUGGAUCAUAUUAUAAGUAUAAAGAUAUGUCAUAUAUCAUAUAUGGUUACCAGAUGAAGCUACAGUUAAACAAGGCUACAUUUUGCACCAAGAAACUAAGUAAAAAGGAAGUGACAUUUACAGUGAAGACAACUUCACAUUCCACCAACAACGUUUGAAUGGGACUGCAACACCUCAACAGUACUGAACCCGAUCAAGAACACAAUCAGCAUAGCAACAACACAGCAAUCAUAGCACACUAAAGGGAAUUGAAUAGGGAUUCUUGAUUAUGAAGCAAUAAAGAAUAUUUUACGUGUCAAAAGCUA